rnacentral:rRNA from 1 species
UACGGAGGUCGCAAGCGUUGUUCGGAAUCAAUGGGCGUAAAGCGCGUGUAGGCGGCUCUGCAAGUCGGGUGUGAAAUCCCGAGGCUCAACCUCGGAACUGCACUCGAUACUGCUUGGCUCGAGUCCCGGAGAGGGUGGCGGAAUUCCCGGUGUAGGGGUGAAAUCCGUAGAUAUCGGGAGGAUCACCAGUGGCGAAGGCGUCCACCUGGACGGUGACUGACGCCGAGACGCGAAAGCGUGGGGAGCAUACAGG